rnacentral:rRNA from 1 species
GACGAACGCUGGCGGCGUGCUUAACACAUGCAAGUCGAACGGAAAGGCCCUGCUUUUGUGGGGUGCUCGAGUGGCGAACGGGUGAGUAACACGUGAGUAACCUGCCCUUGACUUUGGGAUAACUUCAGGAAACUGGGGCUAAUACCGGAUAGGAGCUCCUGCUGCAUGGUGGGGGUUGGAAAGUUUCGGCGGUUGGGGAUGGACUCGCGGCUUAUCAGCUUGUUGGUGGGGUAGUGGCUUACCAAGGCUUUGACGGGUAGCCGGCCUGAGAGGGUGACCGGCCACAUUGGGACUGAGAUACGGCCCAGACUCCUACGGGAGGCAGCAGUGGGGAAUAUUGCACAAUGGGCGGAAGCCUGAUGCAGCAACGCCGCGUGCGGGAUGACGGCCUUCGGGUUGUAAGCCGCUUUCGCCUGUGACGAAGCGUGAGUGACGGUAAUGGGUAAAGAAGCACCGGCUAACUACGUGCCAGCAGCCGCGGUGAUACGUAGGGUGCGAGCGUUGUCCGGAUUUAUUGGGCGUAAAGGGCUCGUAGGUGGUUGAUCGCGUCGGAAGUGUAGUCUUGGGGCUUAACCCUGAGCGUGCUUUCGAUACGGGUUGACUUGAGGAAGGUAGGGGAGAAUGGAAUUCCUGGUGGAGCGGUGGAAUGCGCAGAUAUCAGGAGGAACACCAGUGGCGAAGGCGGUUCUCUGGGCCUUUCCUGACGCUGAGGAGCGAAAGCGUGGGGAGCGAACAGGCUUAGAUACCCUGGUAGUCCACGCUGUAAACGGUGGGUACUAGGUGUGGGGUCCAUUCCACGGGUUCCGUGCCGUAGCUAACGCUUUAAGUACCCCGCCUGGGGAGUACGGCCGCAAGGCUAAAACUCAAAGGAAUUGACGGGGCCCCGCACAAGCGGCGGAGCAUGCGGAUUAAUUCGAUGCAACGCGUAGAACCUUACCUGGGUUUGACAUGGAUCGGGAGUGCUCAGAGAUGGGUGUGCCUCUUUUGGGGUCGGUUCACAGGUGGUGCAUGGCUGUCGUCAGCUCGUGUCGUGAGAUGUUGGGUUAAGUCCCGCAACGAGCGCAACCCUUGUUCACUGUUGCCAGCACGUUAUGGUGGGGACUCAGUGGAGACCGCCGGGGUCAACUCGGAGGAAGGUGGGGAUGACGUCAAGUCAUCAUGCCCCUUAUGUCCAGGGCUUCACGCAUGCUACAAUGGCUGGUACAGAGAGUGGCGAGCCUGUGAGGGUGAGCGAAUCUCGGAAAGCCGGUCUCAGUUCGGAUUGGGGUCUGCAACUCGACCUCAUGAAGUCGGAGUCGCUAGUAAUCGCAGAUCAGCAACGCUGCGGUGAAUACGUUCCCGGG